rnacentral:rRNA from 1 species
AACGAACGCUGGCGGCAUGCCUAACACAUGCAAGUCGAACGAGACCUUCGGGUCUAGUGGCGCACGGGUGCGUAACGCGUGGGAACCUGCCCUUAGGUUCGGAAUAACUCCCCGACAGGGGUGCUAAUACCGGAUAAUGUCUUCGGACCAAAGAUUUAUCGCCUUGGGAUGGGCCCGCGUUGGAUUAGCUAGUUGGUAGGGUAAAAGCCUACCAAGGCGACGAUCCAUAGCUGGUCUGAGAGGAUGAUCAGCCACACUGGGACUGAGACACGUCCCAGACUCCUACGGGAGGGAGCAGUGGGGAAGAAUGGACGAUGGGCGAAAGCCUGAUCCAGCAAGGCCGCGUGAGUGAUGAAGGCGUUAGGGUUGUAAAGCUCUUUUACCCGGGAUGAUAAUGACAGUACCGGGAGAAUAAGCACCGGCUAACACGGG